rnacentral:rRNA from 1 species
AUGCAGGUGUAAGCACCAGCCGAAAAUGGUUAAGCCGCGAAUGGCUCAUUACAACAGCCACCGUUCACUUGAUCUUGUUGUCCUACUUGGAUAACUGUGGUAAUUCUAGAGCUAAUACAUGCAAAUAUACUCCGAUCCUUCGGGAGACGAGUGCAAUUAUUAGAACAAAACCAAUCGGAUCUCGGUCCGUGUUUUGGUGAAUCUGAAUAACUGAGCUGAUCGCACGGUCUUUGUACCGGCGACACAUCUUUCAAGUGUCUGCCUUAUCAAUUGUCGAUGGUAGUUUAUGUGCCUACCAUGAUUGUAACGGGUAACGGAGAAUAAGGGUUCGUCUCCGGAGAGGGAGCCUGAGAAACGGCUACCACAUCCAAGGAAGGCAGCAGGCGCGCAAAUUACCCACUCUCGGCACGAGGAGGUAGUGACGAAAAAUAACGAGGCAGUUCUCUAAGAGGGCUGCUAUCGGAAUGGGUACAAUAUAAACCCUUUAACGAGGACCUAUGAGAGGGCAAGUCUGGUGCCAGCAGCCGCGGUAAUUCCAGCUCUCAAAGUGUAUAUCGCCAUUGCUGCGGUUAAAAAGCUCGUAGUUGGAUCUACGUUUUCGGACUUGGUCCACCCAAUGGGUGCGAACUGAGAUCCAAAACUCUAAUGUUGGUCUUCCCUUGAUGCUCUUCAUUGAGUGUCUUGGGUGGCUAACGAGUUUACUUUGAAAAAAUUAGAGUGCUCAAGACAGGCUAUUAGCCUUGGAUAGUGGUGCAUGGAAUAAUGGAAUAGGACUGCGGUCCAUUUCGUUGGUUUUGGUCCCGCGAUAAUGGUUAAGAGGGACAGACGGGGACGUUCGUAUCGCUCCGUGAGAGGUGAAAUUCUUGGACCGGAGCGAGACGCCCUACUGCGAAAGCAUUG